rnacentral:rRNA from 1 species
UCGCCUGUUUAUCAAAAACAUGGCUCUUUGAAUCUUUAGUAUAAGGAGUCGCGCCUGCCCGGUGAAGUAUAUCUUUAAACGGCCGCAAUUUUCAUUGUGCUAAGGUAGCGUGAUAAGUUGUCCUCUAAUUAGGGAAUGGUAUGAAAGGUAUGACGAGUGGGAAACUGUCUCUGAAAUGAAGUUGAAAAUUUUCUUUUAAGUGAAAAGACUUAGAUUUUGAAAUAAGACGAGAAGACCCCGGUGAGCUUGAUUAUAGCAAUUGAAGUUUAAUUGUUUGAAGUUUUGUUGGGGCAACAAAAAGAGAAAAAAAUUUCUUUUUAAGUAACGUGGAAAAUUAAAUAAACUAUUCGGCAAAAGCUACCACGGGGAUAACAGCGUAAUCACUUUCUGAGAGGCCAAAUCGAAGAAAGGGCUUGCGACCUCGAUGUUGGAUUAAGGUUUUCUUUUGGUGCAGGGGCUAAAAGGUAGGGACUGUUCGUCCUUUGAAUCCUUACGUGAUCUGAGUUCAGACCGGA